AGAAGGGCUGGGUGUUCCUUGGCAGUGCUGCUGCUCUCAGGCCUGUUGAAGGUACUGCUGAACCUUUCCCAAGAACUUGUCUCUGCAUGCUGUGAAGACAAUAUGCUCUCUGCUGUUUGGGUUAAUGCUACAAGGACCAUGGGAGCUGCUCUUCUGCAGCACAGGCUUGACUCCUGCAACAGGAAUCAUUGUGGGAACAGGAUUCAAUUGCAAUCCUGAUCCUUCUGCUCUUGCCUGGGUUGGCAGCCAGGGGUUGGCAGAUGCUUAUCAAAAUACCUAUAACUAAAAGAAAAGUGUUUUUUUAGUCUACAUGUGUUUCUAGCUAAUGAGGAACUACGUGCUUGUAUCCUUUCCCCAGAUAAUGCAAAGUUGGUUUAUUUUUCCCAAUUAAUGUAGUUCCUUGCAUUAAAAGCAGGCUACUCUCUGUAACCCUCCUGCCAAGUACUUAAAAUCCUAAUUAACUGGGCCUCGUAGGACUUGGUUCUUUUCUAUGAGCAAUGCCAGUAUUUUGCUAAAAUUUGUAGUGUGGUCAAGAAUAGCCUGUGCUCUCUGCUUGGGACUUCCAGGAACAUUCAUUCCUGAAACAAGAUAUGUUUUGCCACCUUUAUUUUGGGCAUUUUUUCCUCUUUUUGGACUUGAUGAUAGUAUUCUCAUCUUAUCCAGUUUGAUCCACAUAUUCCCUACCUCAUCUAUCCAAACAUCAAUAUAUUUAUUGCCCAAACUUUAGUCUUAAAAAAAAACGCCCUUACCCCAUGCAGAGCUGGGCUUGGUGAUGCUGUCUACAGAGCUGUUGCCAGUUGCAGGAGUAGUGGGCUCUUCCUUAAAAAAAGAGAUGCUGUUUAGGGGCUGGGGAGGAGAAAGUGUUUUGAAUGAGACCUUAGUGAGACUGUGCGCCAGCUGGAGCAUGAAAAUUUGGGCUAUGCGGUAGGAAGAUUCAGUGUAUGUUCAAAGGUAGUAGGGUGGGCUCUGGGAAUGCAGGUUGUGCAGACUGCUGGUUUCGUGGCUUAUUGGGAGGUGCUGGGACACUGAGAGAAUGGGGUGACUUCCCAGGUUUCAUUGCUCAGGGAGACAAGGUCCACUGGGAGGAAAUUUGGUGCCAGACAUUGGCAAACAGAGGACAAAUCAUUUUUUCUCAUAUCACAAGUGUGACAAACCUUGAACCCAUCCUGUAUCAUUUCCUUAAAGCAAGGUGUGCAAGACACAGGAAGGCUUUUAAUUUCUAUCACUAAUUUGGUUAAAACACAAAUGAAAAUGGCGUGGCUUUUAAAAUAAAAUAAAUUCAGGUUUGCUGGAUGAGACAAAAAGGUCUCCAGACAAAUCUCCUCUCUCUCCCAUCAGUGCCUUUGCAGGGCUGAUGCUUUCCACUUUGUGCUCAGCAAGUUUCAAUGGAUAAAAUCCACGUCAUGCCUACGAGUCCCAGGGAAGGGGUGGGUGCCUUCCCUGACAUGUGUUGCUCAACAGCAAGCCUGCUUUGGCUCAUCUGCAAGUCCCCAUCACUCUGGCCUCCCAGGCAUGCUCUGGGGCUGCUUCAAGGUGGGUUCUGCUCCUCUGCAUCACCAGCUGCAGCUCUGGACAAGGAACACCACAGCUCCCAGCAUGAGCAGCCUGCUGGAAAAAGAGCUAGCAGCAGCAUAACUCCAAACCUGCCCCUUUUUUUGACUUCUUCUCAAAUCUUUGCUGAUAUUUUCCAGUUUGGUCUCUGUGCAGCCAUCUAAAAAGCUGCUUGUGAAACAUUUUGUCAGCAGACUGGGAAUUUGUACCUCUGAGAAGUUGGCAUAGGGGAAGACACUGCAGAACCAAUGACCGGUAAACUUUGCAAGGAAAUGGGCAAGUUGCAGCAACAACUCAAGCUAAACUGGUGCUGAUGUCCAAAAAUCCUACUUUGCCUGUCCUGGGUAGCUACUUUGGUAGAUGAAGCCCAAAUCAUCAACAGUUCUUAUGAACAUUUUGGGAGAGGCCUAUAGAAUGAAAAGAAGUACCUAUACAUGUAUCUGUUAAAGGACAGAAAGCAGUGGUGAUGAGAAUACCUAUGUACUAAAGUAUGUAGAAUCUGAGUGUGACACAUAGAAACAUUAAGGUUGGAAAAGACCUCCAAGAUCAUCUGGUCCAACCAUCCC